CUACAUAAACACAGAAAUAAUCAUGAGGAACGGAACACAAAAUAAAGACGUGGAAAUGUGAAGCGUCAUGCUGCCGCAGCACUAAAUGAUCAUAAAGAGAGUGGAGCAGAGAGAGGUAGACUUGGAAAAAGAUCUAUGUAUGUAUACAUAUGCAUGUGAGCGCACAUGUGUGUGUGAAAGAGAGCUAUAUGUAAGUGUCCGGCAUGAAAAGACAUGAUCGACUUGUAGCUCAACGCAUUUUGAUAAAGGAUUAUACACGGAUCUCAGUCAAAUGCACAUGAAUAAAUUAACUCCACUGUAGACGGAGGGUAGGUAGAAAGAAGCGAGGUGUACCGAUUGCUUAUCGCAGCCUUGACCAGUGGGUGCUUCAGUGUGAUAACACAAUUCCGCAAAAAAAUAAUAGCUGUAAUUAUUGGGCUAUUGGGAAUAUGGGCGCGCACUUGGCGAUUGAACAUGAAACAAAUACAUGGCCACACCUUUGA
rnacentral:sRNA from 1 species